rnacentral:rRNA from 1 species
CGGGUGAGUAACGCGUGGGUAACCUGCCUUAUACAGGGGGAUAACAGUUGGAAACGGCUGCUAAUACCGCAUAAGCGCACGGCAUCGCAUGAUGCAGUGUGAAAAACUCCGGUGGUACAAGAUGGACCCGCGUCUGAUUAGCUGGUUGGUGAGGUAACGGCCCACCAAGGCGACGAUCAGUAGCCGGCCUGAGAGGGUGAACGGCCACAUUGGGACUGAGACACGGCCCAG